AUGGCAUCCACCAAGGGUCUUCUUGUGUUCGCUCUCCUGUUUGCAGCCGCUGCUAUCCUCGUCGCCUCGACUGAUGAACACCCUGAGGUCAAGAAGGAAGAGAAUGAAGCCGGCGUAGAGAACUUCUUCCACUUUGGCGGAGGCCACCACGGGCACGGAGGCGGCGGGGGAGGCUAUGGCGGAGGCGGAGGCUACGGAGGAGGCGGUGGAGGUUACGGCGGCGGCGGCUACCCAGGCGGCGGAGGAGGCUACGGCGGCGGUGGCGGCUACCCUGGCCACGGCGGCGGAGGAGGCUACGGUGGCGGUGGCGGCUACCCUGGCCACGGCGGAAAAGGCGGCGGAGGCUACGGCGGCGGCGGAUGUCACUGGGGCUGCUGCGGGCACGGGCUCCUCCAUCACCAUGGCUGCCGCUGCUGUGCGCGCGCGGACGAGGUUCCGGAGCCCAUGUACCGGGCGCCGGCGGAGGUCCGCAACUGA
rnacentral:rRNA from 1 species